rnacentral:rRNA from 1 species
GUCCUGGCCCUAAACGAUGUCGACUAGAUCGUAGUGCCUCUGACGGUAUUACGGUCGAAGCAAAAGUGCUAAGUCGACCGCCUGGGAAGUACGGUCGCAAGGCUAAAACUCAAAGGAAUUGACGGGGGCUCACACAAGCGGUGGAGCAUGUGGUUCAAUUCGAAGCAACGCGCAGAACCUUACCUGGGUUUGACUCGCCAGGAUUAUCCUCAUGAAAGUGAGGUAGGCCCCGCAAGGGGUACAACUGGUACAGGUGCUGCAUGGCUGUCGU